rnacentral:rRNA from 1 species
GAAGCUGAGUAAGGGCACACGGAGGAUGCCUAGGCGGCGGGAGCCGAAGAAGGACGUGCUAAGCUGCGAAAAGCCCGGAGGAGGUGCACAGGACCUGUGAUGCCGGGAUAUCCGAAUGGGAGAACCUGCAUACCUGGAGGGUAUGCGCGAGAGAGGUAAGCCGGCGAACUGAAACAUCUAAGUAGCCGGAGGAAAAGAAAGUAAAAACGAUUCCCUGAGUAGCGGCGAGCGAACGGGGAGGAGCCUAAACCGUAUAAGUGUUAAAGCUGGCGGCGUUGCAUAUACGGGGUAGAGGGAACAUACUGGACUGACGCCAUAAGGUCGAGUAUAUCAUGAUGUAAGCGGAACGCGGUUGGAAAGCCGGACCGUAGGAGGUGAGAGUCCUGUAGGGCGUAAAGUCAUGAUAUCUUGUAUGAGAUCCCGAGUAGCAUCGGACACGAGGAAUCCGGUGUGAAUCAGCGUGGACCAUAUCACGUAAGGCUAAAUACUUCCGCCGACCGAUAGAGGAGAGUACCGUGAGGGAAAGGUGAAAAGAACCCUGAGCAAGGGAGUGAAAGAGAAUUUGAAACCGUGUGCUUACAAGCGGUAGGAGCCCUUAGGGGUGACUGCGUGGAUUUUGGUUAAUCAUCCUGCGAGUUAUGAUGUGUGGCGAGGUUAAGUAGAAGCGGAGCCGAAGGGAAACCGAGUCUUAAGAGGGCGCAAGUCGCAUGUCAUAGACGCGAAACCUAGUGAUCUAGGCCUGUCCAGGCUGAAGCUGAGGUAAGACUCAGUGGAGGGCCGAACUCACCGCCGUUGAAAAGUUGGGAGAUGAGAUAGGUCUAGGGGUGAAAAGCCAAUCGAACUAGGAGAUAGCUCGUUCUCUCCGAAAUGCAUUUAGGUGCAGCCUCGGUUGAAGAUAUGCGGGGGUAGAGCACUGUAUGGCCUAGGGGGCGUAUAGCUUACCGAAGUCAAGCAAACUGCGAAUACCGUAUAUUGUUUACCGGGAGUGAGUCUACGGAUGACAAGGUCCGUGGACGAGAGGGGAACAGCCCGGACCGCCGGCUAAGGUCCCAAAUCAUGUCUAAGUGGGAAAGGAGGUGGAUAUUCACAGACAACCAGGAGGUUGGCUUAGAAGCAGCCAUACCUUGAAAGAGUGCGUAAUAGCUCACUGGUCGAGAGUAUCUGCGCCGAAGAUAUAACGGGGCUAAGACAUGAACCGAAGCUGCGGAAGCGUGGUAACACGUUUGGUAGGAGAGCGUUCUGUAGGCCGUAGAAGGUGUCCUGGAAGGGAUGCUGGAGGUAUCAGAAGUGAGAAUGCAGGAAUGAGUAGCGAGAAGGAGGGCGAGAAUCCCUCCGGCCGGAAGUCCAAGGUUUCCAGGGGAAGGUUUGUCCGCCCUGGGGGAGUCGGGACCUAAGCAUAAGCAGAGCUGCGAAGGCGAAUGGAAAACAGGUUAAUAUUCCUGUACCGCUGUGGACUGAUUGAAAGAUGGAGUGACGCAGGAAGGUAUGCGGGAAGGCUGACGGAAUAGCCUUUCUAAGGGUGAAGCGUGGACAUAUAGGCAAAUCCGUAUGUUUAAACGUGAGGCCUGACGGGUAAGUGCCAUAGGGCAUAAGCCGCAGAUCCUACACUGCCGGGAAAAACUUCUAUUUAGGGAAGCAGCGCCCGUACUGUAAACCGACACAGGUGGACAGAGUGAGAAACUUAAGGCCGACAGGACAACUCUGGCUAAGGAACUCUGCAAAAUGGCCCCGUAACUUAGGGAGAAGGGGUGCCCGUGGUACCUGAAGGGGGAGACACCCGGAGGGGAAGCGGGCCGCAGUGAAGAGUCCCAAGCAACUGUUUACCAAAAACACAGGUCUAUGCUAAGCCGGAAGGCGACGUAUAUGGGCUGACACCUGCCCAGUGCCGGAAGGUUAAGAGGAGGAUUGAGAGAUUCGAAUUGAAGCCCCGGUGAACGGCGGCCGUAACUAUAACGGUCCUAAGGUAGCGAAAUUCCUUGUCGGGUAAGUUCCGACCUGCACGAAUGG